GCAGCUCUUCUUAAGAAACUACAGUGUGUCAGGUCAUUUACGUGUGUCCUCCCCAGGCUUCCUACCAGUCCCCCUUAACCUGGAGGAAACAGAGGCUUGAAGGAGAAAUGAUUUAUCCAAAGCCACGCAGCUCCAGAGUCUCCUGCUUUCUCAUAUAGCACAUUACAUCUGAUACCUUCAAAGUCUAGUCCCAAUCCUGGCCUUCUACAGUUCUAGAGUCUGCCUGCUUCCUUAGAGGUGGUGUUGAGAAGAGAAACCUGAUUUCUUCUGCACAAAGGUGGAAGUGAGGCUGUCAGUGGGUGGGGGCCAGGACCUCCUUUUCAUGAGGUGUUUUCCUGGCCCAUGCAUUGCAAACGUUUUGAUGGGGACUGGAGUCUAGACCAACAGGGUGCUCGUGGGUUAGACCCGACACCCAAGACUGAGUGACUCUGCUUCUGUCUUAAAUGUGCCUCUUGGGCUGAAAUAUCUGCUUCCUUCAGAGAGAGGGACUGAAGCUGGGGAGAAAUUCAGCUUGUGAAUUUCUCUGAGACUAUGCUGCGCCCCUUAUGACUGGCAACUUAUUACAAAUGUCACAACUUAUUUGCAGCUGGAAGGAUAAUUUAGCAAGCUCUGUGUCUGCCAAAUAAGGAUGUUUGCGUUUCAUACCAAGCAUCCUGUUCAUGUGCUAACAGAAGCGUUCAGAAGAGUAAGCCUCGAUCAAACAAACAAAUGAUUAACCUUAAAAACAGACACAUAAACAGAACCACAAUGGAUGAAUUAUGCAGCAGGCUGUCCCUGCUGCUGACACCAGCUCACAUCUGGUUUCUCUGCUCAGGCUGUUCCUAUAAAUGACUUUCCUUUCUUUGCUCCCUUCCUGGCUCCCUCUACCUGUUUUCCUUUACACAGAAGCCAGCAGAGCAUGUCACAGGCCUCCCCGUCUGUGCUCCCAAGCAGUCCUUUUCCGGAGGGGCUCAGGGACCAAGGCUUCUCAAAGGCCACACAUGCUCCCACCUGCCCAUUCAGCCAGUGGGAUGGCCCGGGAACACUCCAGGCAGACACAGGGGCCUUUUACCCCACCUUGUGGAGCCAAGUCAGUCCACAGAAGAAAGGAGAGUCAGGUACUGUUGGUUUAAGCUUGUUUGCAAGGGACCCCAGGAGCACAUAAAUCAUGUAAGCCUCACCUUGCCUUAGAGAGACAUCUUAUUUAUACGGUCUGAGUCUGGCUUUAUAAGGUGCUAAGCUGAGCUCAGGGGAGGGUACUUUAUCCUCAGACAGGCUCUCCACUCAGAACAGUGGGUGUGUUUUUGCAGAACUUCCUGCUUUGGGCUCAAAAGGCAUUUGGAAAGACUCCUCUUGGCUCUUUGCAGCUGAGAGCCUCCUGGUUUGCGGCUCCCACAGAGGAUCUGGCAAGGAUCUGCAGCAUAUGGGGGAAAGUGAGGCAGCGGGCAAGGGAGCAAGAUCUUGGGAGCGAGAUCUGGGGCCUUCUUGGUGUGCAUUUGCUCCUACCUUCCCCGGACUAGAGAGUCUGUAAGUUGAGAAAAGGACAGGCAUCUUAGCAACUCGGGAGUCCGGGAUCCAGAAACACAAAGCAAAACCUCAUCUGUUCUGCCCUGUGGAAUUUGGAAAUUAUGAUGGCUAAUACUGACAAUAGGGGCCAAGGUUUGUCCCAGGGCUUCCAGCUCUCAAAGCAUUUUCCCCUGUGUUCUCUCACACACUCAGGCAAGGUAUAAACAGGCCUUACCAAAUACAGGAAUAAGAAAUAAGUAGCUUCACUUUGGGCUGUCUCUGUGGAAGAUGCAUUAUAUAAUAUAGGCAGAUUGUGUCUUGGAAUAGUUUGUUCAUGAAAGAGUAACAUACAAAAAAAGUACCGUGCUUCGGAAACUCAAUGAAUCAUCUCUGAAGCCUUAAUAAAGAGAGAGUGAAUAAUAGAAUAAUAUUAGCUUUUCCCACUUUAUCAAGUGGGUAUUUUCACCAUUUAAAAUGAGGCUGGUCAGAUUCAAGAUUCUAUGAGAUUUAAACAUCUGUUUCUCUUGCUUACUUUUUCAUUCUCAUCGAUGUCUUGGUUGAAUAGUUACAGGGCCGGAAAAAUAAUAACAUUGAAUUUUUUUUUUAAUGUAGACCAUUAGAGUGCCGCGCACACCAGAGUCCUAGCCCAGUACGUGCUGAAUAAUUGACUGAAGGAAUGAAUUCUGACUUUUACCUUCUGCAUAUGAGAUUGCUGUCAAGUCUUGGAGAAACGGUGCACCCUGGGCCCAAUUGGAUGGUCAUUUUUUUUUUUUGGUCCCUGCUUAUAGGUCCCUCUCAUGGCAUUACCCAUGCCCAGCCUUCCUGUCUGAGCUCAGCUUCCUUAGAGCUGCUUUUCUGUCCAGUUUCCAAGCUGAGGUCGGUGUUGCACAGAGGCCUCUGCUCCAGUCAGCUAACAAAUCUGUCCUUUGUACAUCCCUGCUGUGUGCCUGGCUUCCAGUUAGACACAGCUCUGCGGGAAGAGCAGAGAGAUAGGAGGUGCCAGGCACUUUGUUUGGCACUUUUCCUUCUCCAUCUCUAUGGGAGAUGCAAGGGAAGGAGAUCCUGGCCCUUCCCUGAUGCUAUGCACUGUCCAGAAAGAGGAGUGGAGAGAGGAAGAGGUGGGGAAUGAAUGUUUGCUGAUCCCCGCUCUGUACUGGGCUUUGGAAAAGUUUCUUGAUGCUGGCAUUUGGGCUGAAUCAUUCUUUGUCAUGGGGGCUGCUCUGAUCGUUGUUGGAUGAUUACUAGUUUUACUAGCAUCCCUGGCUUCUGGCUUUUACCCACUGGUGCUGGUAGUAUGCCUCCCUCCGUCCCCACCACAUGUGACAACCAAAGUUGUGUCCAGACAUUGCCACUGGUUUAGGUACCAGGCCUGUAUUAGCUCAUAUAAGCCUCAACAGUCCACAAGGCAGGUGUUACUAGCAUCAUUCUAUACGUGAGGAAAUGAAGCCUUGGAGAGGUUAAGACACGUACCUAAAGCCAUACAAAGGGGAUUUGAAACCCACGUCUGCCCACCAGUGUCAGAGAUCCUGGGAGGCCAGCCUCUUGCAAGUUCUUUGUAGUGGGUACCUCUGUCCAGAUUUCUACUUUUCUAGGACCCUGAACUGUGACUUUUCUUCCUGUAGACCCGCGGCAUCCUCAUCCUGGCUUUGAGAUCCUACUUGCAGUUGCCAAUUAAGUCUUUUUGUAGAAGAGAAUAAGACGAGAACAAAUGUGGUGAAUAUGUCAAGUUUUGACAAUGCUCAGCCUUUCUUUUGGCUUUUGUGUCCUUUCUCCUGAUCCCUUUUCUGUCUCUGUCUCUCUAGGUCAGAGUCUUAAUCUCUCUGAUAACUUGGAGUGGUGGAGUCCUUUCGGUUUGGGGGCUGUUGAGAGCUAACUGCUGCCAUCACUGGAAGGGUUCCAUCUGUCUGAAGCUGCCACCAGGACUUUACCAGUACCUGGUGUUGGAGUACCCUCUUCCCAUAUACAUUCCCCACUCCCUGUAAACCCUCCCUCCCAACAAUUUCAUGUGCUGUGUGAGUACUAAAUUGGGGCAGUAGAGGUCUGUGUCUCUCUGGGUAUCACAAUGGGGACUCUGGGUCAGAUCAGACAUUGGGUCACAAGGCUAUAAGGCGUGGCUGUGGGAACCAUGCAGAACAAGGAUGGACACAGGAUAGGCCAUGUGUUGGGCUGUGCUUCUUGGAGGUCAGGGCUGGAAUGGUGCAGAAACCCAGGUGGAUAAGGGCUGGCAGAGGGAACAUAGGCAGCAGAGGGCAGAGUAAGAAGACCACAAUCCAGGGAAGACAGCCUCCAGGAGGGAGGUGAGUGAUGUAGCCAUCACCACAGAAGAGAUAUGCUGAUGAGGCUGCAUCUGUUCCAGGAUGGGGUCCUGAGCCCAGAGGCAACAAAUAAGCUGGGACUUGAAUGACAUGAAGAGUGUGGUCCUGGGGUCUCAGCAUUCUUGACUGAGGAAGCAGGAAGUGCAAAGACCCUGAGGUGAGAAUGAGCCCUCAAGAAGGAAGCCCAGUGCUUCUGGAACAUGGAUGGAGGAAGAGAACCAUGAGUCAAGGAAUGGGCACAGCUUAUAGAAGUUGGAAAAAAGCAAGAAAAUGGAUUAUCUCUAGAGCCUCCAGGAGGAUCAUGGCUCUGCUGACACCUGUUUAGUCCAGUGAGACCCAUUUCAGAUUUUUGACCUCCAGUAUAGUAAGACAAUAAAUUAGUGUCAUUUGACAUCAC